AUCUUGGAGUCACGUUGUUACAGAUUGCGACGCAGAUUGUGGCGAUAUUCUCAACCAACUUAAGGGGUGCUGUGGGACUGGUGCGUGUGCCAGCAGGUGCAUCUGCUACACUGGCAGUAACCCUAGUCAACGACCACCGAUUCUACCACCACUGAGUCAACAACCACGGAGACUACAACCACUGAGUCUACCACUACCGAGUCUACAACCACCCAAUCAACCACCACCGAGUCAACGAGCACUGAGCCUACCACCACUGAGACUACAACCACCGAGUCUACCACCACUGACUCAACAACCACUGAGUCUACCACCACCGCCCCCACCACAUUGUCGCCAUCUGCGCCUCGACUGCUAGCGUGGUUAAAGUCAGUUCAGGCACGGUGCCAGAGUACUAUGUCAGAGUGAAUCCCUGCACAGCUCUGUGCAGCAGUGCAUAUUCUACUGGCUUUUGGUUCACUGCACAGAGAGUAGUUGCACCCUGAUUAACUAAUGAGAUAUGGAAAAGAAAAAUUGAAUGAAGUAAAAAAAAAAAAGACGUGCUCAGUGCUGCUUUGCUGAUAGAUUCGGAACGUAUAGUUUUGAUUAACAAGCCAAACGGACAAACUGAAUAGAAACUGAAUAGAAACUCCUUUGAUUGAACUUCCUGUUUUCAAUGUAUUCUAAACUCUAUAAUGUUUUCUUUUUGCAAGGAUCUGUCCAAAUUAAACAUCGUGUGCACUUCAUAUAUAAAUUUAUAAAUAAUUAAAAUGGCGGAUAGGUGUGCAAAUAUAUAGGAAGGGCUAUUUCAACAUCGGAUUAAACAUUUAUGGGUUUUUGUUGUGUAUCGAACAUUUAUUAGCUAUAAUUGAAAGAAUACUAAUAAGUGUCCUGUUAUUUUGUGUUAAUAUCCUAGUUAUCUUUGUAUCUUUUUCUGUGUUUAUCGUCAUUGUUUGUGAAACAUAAUGCCGCAGAGGAAUUUGAUUUGCCUGAUGUUUUCAAAAUUUUUUAUUUUGAUACUAAACUUAUAGUUCACUAGGAAAAGGAUCUUAUAAACUCAGAAUAGAGUUUUUGUAGUCAAUCAUUUAAACAACAAAAAAUUUGAAUCAACCACGACACGUGCAGUUUUUCCCAGUUUUUUUUCCAAAAACCAAUUAAUUAAGAAGUUCUUAUCAAUGUUUAUUUUCAUCUGGCCCUUCAUUUGCAUAUUUCGUAAAUAAUAAUUGUAGAGCCGUUAUUCAAACACUUCAAUAAGUGGGAAACAUAGCUUAUGUUUGCAUGGGCAUAGAAAAAUUUAGGUAAAACAUGCUGAGUUUACAAAUGUCUCAAAUAAAUUGUAGCAGCUAUUGCUUUUGAACUUUAAACACAAUUGUUUUUAUUUCAAAAGAUGUUUUUAUCAAGUACGUUCUUGGUAUCAUUUUGCAUAUUCGGGUAAAUUCUUACUCUCACAGAGGAAGAGACACGUGUUCAUUCAAUAUAUCUGAAGUGUUUAAAACUAUUCAAUAUAUCUUUGAAUGGACUGUCAAACAUUACUUCACUUUUGAAAUUAUACACGCCGAGAUUAUAACUAAUUACAUUGCUGGCAAUUAAUAUAGAUGAAUACAGUAUUUAAAUGAUCACCAUACCUAUAGAUCUAUAAAUAAACAUAUCGCAAGGAUUGCAACUUAAUUUCGAUUGAUCAUUCGAUUAUUAUUCAAGGAAACUUGUUUGCCUUUGUGUUAGUAAACAACUGAUCUAUAAACGGAUUUUGAAAAAAAUCAAAAUAUGUCUAAAUGGGUUAGCGUAGGGUCGAUUAGCUUUUGGGGUUGAUACAACAAUAUAGUCCAAGUAUUUGGUGCAGAAAAAAAGGGUGAAUUGUGCAUUUUUACCUACAAGCAUGAAAUUUGGCACAGUUGUAGAUAACGGAAUUCUAAACCAUUUUGGAUAUAUGGGCAUGUCUGAAAAUUCCAAUAUGGCCGCCAAUUCCAAUAUGACCCGCCACAAAUACUCUUUUAAAUUAAAACUUCUAAUAUAUAAUCCUAUAAUGGUUUAAAAUAUCAUUUUAUAGUUAGGAAAUACCAUGAUAAGAAUGAAUUAUCAAUACCCGCUUCUUUAGGUGUAUAGAAAUCCAAAAUGGCCCCCAAAAGUAAAAUAAGCAGUCUAUUUACUCAAAAUAUGCAGCAGUAUGGUGAAUUCAUUAAGUACUUACAACUACAAGUAAAAAUUGGCACAGUUGUGGAGAACAUGAUUCUAAGAAACGUUGGAUAUAGGUGCAUGUCUGAAAAUUCCAAUAUGGCAGUCAAUUUUAAUAUGGCCACCAAAAUACUCUUUCAAGGUGAAAGUUAUUUAUGUAGUCUUUUACAAAAAUAUCAUUUAAUGGUUAGAAAAUGCCAUAGUAUCCGCCUCUUUAGGUUUUAAAAUUCCAAAAUGACCUCCAAAAGUCAGUGGGCCACAUGUAUUGGAAACAUGAAUUCGAGGGCCCAGGGAAACUCAAAUAAAUUUGUAUCAGCUUUUGCUUUUAAACUUUGAAGACAAUUGUUUUUCAUUUUAAAAGAUAUUUUGAUCAAAUUAGGGCUUGAUUCUGUACAAAUGGCUCAAUUUUCACAAUUGUCGAGGAGCAGACACGUGUUUAUUCAAUCUCUUUGAAGUAUUCAAAACCGUCCAAUAGAUUUUUUGCAUGGACUGUCAAACAUUUCUUCACAUUUAGAAAUAUAAGUGAUAAUUGAGUAAUCCAUGAAAACCAUGUGGAGUUGCCUACCUCCUUCCAGUGUUUUGUUGGACCUUGCUUAUGCGACAGAUUUUAGCAAUUCUUUCAGGCUUCUAGCUUUGAAUGACAUAACUUACUCUUGCCGUACGUUUCAAUCGUUUUGCAAAAUUUUUGUAAGUUUUCCGGAAUACGUUUUGGAAAUGCAUAUGUUUUUGUCUUUUAUAACGUUUGUAUUACAUUCUGGAAGAACAUUAUAAUAUUAUACCGUUUUAAUAACACUCAUAAGAACUGUUACAACAACAAAAUAUGUUAUAAAACGUUUUUUUUUUUUCUUUUUUUU
rnacentral:lncRNA from 1 species